rnacentral:pre_miRNA from 1 species
AUUGAAAUCGGCUAUGAUAGCUUGUCGUUUCAUUGGCAAUCAUCGCCCUUUUUAAUG